GAGGAGGCUAGACUCAAGCUGUCUGGAGAGUGUGAAACAAAAGUGUGUGAAGAGUUGUAACUGUGUGACUGAGCUUGAUGGCCAAGUUGAAAAUCUUCAUUUGGAUCUGUGCUGCCUUGCUGGUAACCAGGAAGACCUUAGUAAGGACUCUCUAGGUCCUACCAAAUCAAGCAAAAUUGAAGGAGCUGGUACAAGUAUCUCAGAGCCUCCGUCUCCUGUCAGUCCGUAUGCUUCAGAAAGCUGUGGAACGCUACCUCUUCCUUUGAGACCUUGUGGAGAAGGGUCUGAAAUGGUAGGCAAAGAGAAUAGUUCCCCAGAGAAUAAAAACUGGUUGUUGGCCAUGGCAGCCAAACGGAAGGCUGAGAAUCCAUCUCCACGAAGUCCGUCAUCCCAGACACCCAAUUCCAGGAGACAGAGCGGAAAGACAUUGCCAAGCCCGCUGCAGUCUGCAAAGGUCUUCACAAAUCAGAAUCAACUGGUAAUUA
rnacentral:sRNA from 1 species